GCUAGUGAGAUUUAAGAGCUCCAACAGAGGCCCACACCAGUUUCAGCAGAUUUCUGCAAAAGCUUCCGAAAAAAGGAGUGGAAUCUGGCCUGAAACUCCCGUCCUCUUCAAAUCCACAAAGCCGCAGCUCUCCUCAUCUUCAAAUCCUUCUUCUACCCAGAAGCCUUCCGCAAAUAAUCCCAAAUUGGAUUAAUUUCUCAGCCACCCUUACUUUACAGUUUUCUCGAGCUACUGCUAAAGGUCUGUAUAAAAAGAAACAUCACCAGUAUCUUUCAGGAAGAAAGCGGGGCUCCGAAAUGCACAGAUCCGAUCUGCAGUCGGCCGAAGUGAUGGAGCCACCAGUCAAGAGAAAGCCCACAAGCCACUGCCAGCGUUUCUAUCACUACUGCACCCGAGAGCCAAAUUAGAGUUUGAGUCAGGCUCAAUUCCCUUGCCUGGAGCUGCUGACUUGGGUUGCGGUCAGUGAGUUUCACCUUGUGUUCACAUCCCAGCCAUUUAAAUAAAAUCCUAUGCAGCACA